UUGAAAAUAGUAUUUGAUAUCAAAAUGGGCCUUUAUGCUAGUUCAUGGGCUUAUGUCUAGGGGGAAGGUUGGCCCUUUGUUGCAAGUUUGUAAUGAUUCUUAGGUGGAAAGGGAAGCCCAUAACUGCAAUGGACACAAUUGUCAUGUCUAAAUGGUUUCUGUUAAUAAGUUAGCAACCACAAAUCUCUUUGAUUGAGGCUGAAGUUUUGGAAUAGUUGCAGUGGCAGAUCAGUCUGAUGAAAUACUUAACCUAGCCUUAUAUCAGUUUUUUUGCUCAUUUGGUAUUAUAUUUUGCUGCAAAAUCUCCUUUAUUCUUACUUAUAGUCGAAUUAUUAAUUGGAAAACAGUUGAGGUAUCAAUGCAAUCUCUCUCUUUUUGGCUUUUUUUGGAAUUGUUUUUAUGUUUUUUCUGAUUGAAAUUAUCGUAUUUGUCUACAGUGCCCGAAACAACCUACAAACGUGGAAUGUGGGUUCUAUGUAAUGAAAUACAUGAAAGUUUUGAUUAGAGAUGAGAGGAUCUUAAGCAAAGGAAAUUUCAAUGGAAAAAAAACUUACACGAAAGCCGAAAUUGAUGAAGUGGGAGCCGAGUGGAUGAAGUCCGUCAUGAACGAAGUAUAAUCAGCUUAUACAUGCAUGCUUUGAGAAUGACGAAGUGCUUGAAAUUGGCUUUUGAGAAUGACAAAGUGCUUGAAAUUGGCUUCAGAGAAUGACGAAGUGUUAUUCGUUGUAGCAUAGGACAUAACUUCAUGCUUGUGGUUCAAGUGUUCUUUGUCAUUUUUUUGUUGAAGCUUUUGUUCUGUAUUUUUUAUGCAUUUUCAGAAAUUUGAUUGAUCUUAUAUUGAAAGUAGGCUUUCUGGCACGAUGUUUCUAUCUAUGAUAUGUUUUGGGCAAGAUGCAAUAUCAUUUAUGCAUAUUUCGUAUGGCAAAAUCUUUUGUUUUGGAGAAGAUAGCUAUGGGCUGAAUACAUAUUUUACAUGUAUUUAUUAUUGGUUAGAGAUUCGGGCAUUUGUUAAAAGCAAAAAAAAAAAAAAAAAGAUGUAUCUUUCAAUCACGUUUCUAGACUGUGAUGAUAAGAACAUUUAAUCACGCUUUUGGACGAAAACCGUGAUCGAAAAAUCAUAAAAGAUCAUGCCUAACUAUUUUCCAUCUCAUUUUUUAGACAUGAAAGAUCACAGUAUUUGGUGGUGAUUGUAUCUACAUAUAAUCACGGUUUUUCAAGAAAAGUGUGAU